UGGGCUGUCGCCAAGUGGUAAGGCAGCUGGUUUUGAUCCAGCCAUUCCCAGGUUCGAUCCCUGGCAGCCCAGCCA
rnacentral:tRNA from 1 species